rnacentral:rRNA from 1 species
GAUGAACGCUGGCGGCGUGCCUAAUACAUGCAAGUCGAGCGAACAGACGAGGAGCUUGCUCCUCUGACGUUAGCGGCGGACGGGUGAGUAACACGUGGAUAAUCUACCUAUAAGACUGGGAUAACUUCGGGAAACCGGAGCUAAUACCGGAUAAUAUAUUGAACCGCAUGGUUCAAUAGUGAAAGACGGUUUUGCUGUCACUUAUAGAUGGAUCCGCGCCGCAUUAGCUAGUUGGUAAGGUAACGGCUUACCAAGGCAACGAUGCGUAGCCGACCUGAGAGGGUGAUCGGCCACACUGGAACUGAGACAGGGUCCAGGCUCCUACGGGAGGCAGCAGUAGGGAAUCUUCCGCAAUGGGCGGAAGCAUGACGGAGCGACGCCGCGUGAGUGAUGAAAGUCUUCGGAUCGUAAAACUCUGUUAUUAGGGAAGAACAAAUGUGUAAGUAACUAUGCCCGUCUUGACGGUACCUGAUCAGAAAGCCCCGGCUAACUACGUG